rnacentral:rRNA from 1 species
GGGGAGGCGAGCUAACUGCAGUCGAAGAGACCUUCGGGUCUAGUGGCGCACGGGUGCGUAACGCGUGGGAAUCUGCCCUUAGGUACGGAAUAACAGUGAGAAAUUACUGCUAAUACCGUAUGAUGUCGCGAGACCAAAGAUUUAUCGCCUAGGGAUGAGCCCGCGUUGGAUUAGCUAGUUGGUGGGGUAAAAGCCUACCAAGGCAACGAUCCAUAGCUGGUCUGAGAGGAUGAUCAGCCACACUGGGACUGA